rnacentral:rRNA from 1 species
CCUACGGGCGGCAGCAGUGGGGAAUAUUGGUAAUGGGCGAAAGCCUGAACCAGCAACGCCGCGUGUGCGAUGAAGGCCUUCGGGUCGUAAAGCACUUUUUGGAGGGAUGAGGAAGGACAGUACCUCCAGAAUAAGCCUCGGCUAACUACGUGCCAGCAGCCGCGGUAACACGUAGGAGGCAAGCGUUAUUCGGAUUUACUGGGCGUAAAGCGCGUGCAGGCGGUUCGGAAAGUUGGAUGUGAAAGCUCCUGGCUUAACUGGGAGAGGUCGUUCAAUACUUCCGGACUUGAGAGUGGGAGAGGGAGGUGGAAUUCCGGGUGUAGUGGUGAAAUGCGUAGAUAUCCGGAGGAACACCAGUGGCGAAAGCGGCCUCCUGGCCCAUUUCUGACGCUCAGACGCGAAAGCUAGGGUAGCAAACGGGAUUAGAUACCCCAGUAGUC